GAUGAAGAACGUAGCGAAAUGCGAUAAGUAAUGCGAAUUGCAGAAUUCAGUGAGUCAUCGAAUCUUUGAACGCACAUUGCGCCCUGUGGUAUUCCGCAGGGCAUGCCUGUUCGAGCGUCAUUUCAACCCUCAAGCUCUGCUUGGUGUUGGGCCCCGCCCGCUCGCGGCCGGCCCUAAAGACAGUGGCGGCAGCGCCUGGCUCCAAGCGUAGUACAGCUCUCGCUCUGGGGCUAGGCGGUAGCCUGCCAGAACCCCCCUUCUAUGGUUGACCUCGGAUCAGGUAGGGAUGCCCGCUGAACUUAAGCAUAUCAAUAAGCGGAGGA
rnacentral:misc_RNA from 1 species